rnacentral:rRNA from 1 species
GACGAACGCUGGCGGCGUGCUUAACACAUGCAAGUCGAACGGAAAGGCCCUGCUUUUGUGGGGUGCUCGAGUGGCGAACGGGUGAGUAACACGUGAGUAACCUGCCCUUGACUUUGGGAUAACUUCAGGAAACUGGGACUAAUACCGGAUAGGAGCUCCUGCUGCAUGGUGGGGGUUGGAAAGUUUCGGCGGUUGGGGAUGGACUCGCGGCUUAUCAGCUUGUUGGUGGGGUAGUGGCUUACCAAGGCUUUGACGGGUAGCCGGCCUGAGAGGGUGACCGGCCACAUUGGGACUGAGAUACGGCCCAGACUCCUACGGGAGGCAGCAGUGGGGAAUAUUGCACAAUGGGCGGAAGCCUGAUGCAACAACGCCGCGUGCGGGAUGACGGCCUUCGGGUUGUAAACCGCUUUCGCCUGUGACGAAGCGUGAGUGACGGUAAUGGGUAAAGAAGCACCGGCUAACUACGUG